rnacentral:lncRNA from 1 species
GUCAAAUUGGCACCAUGGUCUUAUUAUCUAUUGUAAAAACCGUUUAGAAAAUACCCUCAUUUUUAUCUUCUUGACCUACUCUGUCUUCCAUUUUGCCUGUUAUAUUCAGGUCAGUAGGGAGUUAGGACUCAGCACUGGGCUUCUGCUCUUCUAAGUCAGCUAAUAUAAUAAGACUGCAGCUUAUUCCGGAAGAGAAAGGAAUCUGAGUAGAUGACAGAGCAGUGCUGCCCUCUGAAUGCAGUGGGCAUUGUUUACACCAAAAUACGCUGGGAAGAUGGUUAUGAACUAUUUCCACUUCUUACCACUGCUCCCCCAGGAAUGGAUGGCUUACAAACAGGAAAAGAAUGAGUCAUUUCAACCCAGGUUGGCAAACACAAGGCUGAGAGAAAAGUGA